ACCAUAUUGAGCUGAUGGGUUACUGCAAGUUCUGGUCCUGGUUCUGUUGCCACGUCCACAACUCCGUGUGCAUUCUUCCCAAGGGCUCCAUUCUGACCAGCUACCAUCCACUACACACAGGACCUCUUUGAGCCUUUGUAUCCUUCAGAGAAUUCUUGUUAGAUUCCUCUAAGAUGAGAUAAGCCUAGUUCUUUGACAGGGAAUGCAAGAGGAACUUUUUCCUUUCAUGGCACCUACAGAGAGGGAUUAAUUGUGGCAGUUAAAGUGCACAUCAACGAUUUCAGCGUGACUUACUACAGUGCCAUAAAUGGCCAAGGAGCCAUUGAGAAGUUG